AUGGAUCUAUGUGCCCUCAUACAUGGAUCAUGUUCAUGGAUUAUCGAAACUAUGCAAGAACUCGAUUUGCUUGUCAUCCUAUGUGUUGCUUCCUUUUGCGUAUGGCACCCCCACUCCUUUUGGCAUCACCUACUACUUUGGAACUCAAUUUGA
rnacentral:rRNA from 1 species